AGUCGUAACAAGGUUUCCGUAGGUGAACCUGCGGAAGGAUCAUUAACAAAUCGUAGUUGUAGAAGGUGUGGCAACACGCUCUUCUACACAUACACCCGCUCCAGUGCAGCAAUGCCUGGUCGGUGCUCUGUUUAUCCUCUAAACCGGGAUGUAUCAGAGCGACCGCAAACGCAAGUGCGCGGUCACAUAGACGCUUUUUUGUUUGACAGAGUUUAUUGUAUGCAAAUAUAAAUACAACUUUUAACAAUGGAUCUCUUGGCUCUU
rnacentral:misc_RNA from 1 species